UAAGGAAUAUUGGACAAUGGAGGCAACUCUGAUCCAGCCAUGCCGCGUGAAGGAAUAAGGCCCUAUGGGUUGUAAACUUCUUUUAGACGGGACAAAACCCCUUUACGUGUAAAGGGUUGAUGGUACUGUCAGAAUAAGCAUCGGCUAACUUCGUGCCAGCAGCCGCGGUAAUACGAAGGAUGCAAGCGUUAUCCGGAAUUAUUGGGUUUAAAGGGUGCGUAGGCGGACUAAUAAGUCAGUGGUGAAAGCCUGCAGCUUAACUGCAGAAUUGCCAUUGAUACUGGUAGUCUUGAGUACAGUUGAGGUAGGCGGAAUGUGUCAUGUAGCGGUGAAAUGCUUAGGCAUGACACAGAACACCGAUUGCGAAGGCAGCUUGCUAAGCUGUAACUGACGCUGAGGCACGAAAGCGUGGGGAGCAAACA
rnacentral:rRNA from 1 species